GGGCGUUAAGUUGCAGGGUAUAGACCCGAAACCCGGUGAUCUAGCCAUGGGCAGGUUGAAGGUUGGGUAACACUAACUGGAGGACCGAACCGACUAAUGUUGAAAAAUUAGCGGAUGACCUGUGGCUGGGGGUGAAAGGCCAAUCAAACCGGGAGAUAGCUGGUUCUCCCCGAAAGCUAUUUAGGUAGCGCCUCGUGAAUUCAUCUCCGGGGGUAGAGCACUGUUUCGGCUAGGGGGCCAUCCCGGCUUACCAACCCGAUGCAAACUGCGAAUACCGGAGAAUGUUAUCACGGGAGACACACGGCGGGUGCUAACGUCCGUCGUGAAGAGGGAAACAACCCAGACCGCCAGCUAAGGUCCCAAAGUCAUGGUUAAGUGGGAAACGAUGUGGGAAGGCCCAGACAGCCAGGAUGUUGGCUUAGAAGCAGCCAUCAUUUAAAGAAAGCGUAAUAGCUCACUGGUCGAGUCGGCCUGCGCGGAAGAUGUAACGGGGCUAAACCAUGCACCGAAGCUGCGGCAGCGAACGUAUCACCCAAGACAACUUUACGGAGUUGACGAUUGACGGAGCGAAGCGACGUCAAAGCGUUCAUUAAAGUCGAGUUGGCUUAGGGAUACGUUCGUUGGGUAGGGGAGCGUUCUGUAAGCCUGYGAAGGUGKSYYGUGAGGSAUGCUGGAGGUAUCAGAAGUGCGAAUGCUGACAUAAGUAACGAUAAAGCGGGUGAAAAGCCCGCUCGCCGGAAGACCAAGGGUUCCUGUCCAACGUUAAUCGGGGCAGGGUGAGUCGACCCCUAAGGCGAGGCCGAAAGGCGUAGUCGAUGGGAAACGGGUUAAUAUUCCCGUACUUGGUGUUACUGCGAAGGGGGGACGG
rnacentral:rRNA from 1 species